AAACUGACCAUCUUUUGUUCGACAAAAUUAAGGGCUUCAAGAACUUUCAGGCGAUUAUGAUAUUCUUCACUGAGCAACAAUGCAUCGCUGGACAGCUCAUAUUCAAGACUUUCGAUUUUUCGUUCAAUUCUGAUUCGAUCACGUAGUACAGAAAACUGAAAAUGAAGAAUGAAGAGUGUAAUCUA
ensembl:antisense_RNA anr-13 ncRNA